AUUGAACGCUGGCGGCAGGCUUAACACAUGCAAGUCGAGCGGGGUUUUCGGACCUAGCGGCGGACGGGUGAGUAAUGCGUAGGAAGCUACCCGAUAGAGGGGGAUACCAGUUGGAAACGACUGUUAAUACCGCAUAAUGUCUACGGACCAAAGUGUGGGACCUUCGGGCCACAUGCUAUCGGAUGCGCCUACGUGGGAUUAGCUAGUUGGUGGGGUAAUGGCUCACCAAGGCGACGAUCCCUAGCUGGUUUGAGAGGAUGAUCAGCCACACUGGAACUGAGACACGGUCCAGACUCCUACGGGAGGCAGCAGUGGGGAAUAUUGGACAAUGGGCGCAAGCCUGAUCCAGCCAUGCCGCGUGUGUGAAGAAGGCCUUCGGGUUGUAAAGCACUUUCAGCGAGGAGGAAGGGUGGUGUGUUAAUAGCACAUCAUUUUGACGUUACUCGCAGAAGAAGCACCGGCUAACUCUGUGCCAGCCGCCGCGGUAACAC
rnacentral:rRNA from 1 species